rnacentral:rRNA from 1 species
AUGGCGGGAGAGGAAGCAAGUGAGCGUGGGGAGGAGGGGAUCUGGGGUGAGCCCAGAGGGGAGCGGAGCGACAGAGGAGAGAGUGAGGCGUGGGGGAGAGGACCGAGGCGUCCCGGGCCUUAUCCUCUCACGGUGACGGUGUCGAGGUGGUGCAAUGGGAGCACGCCCGACGCGGCUCGGGUCGGGGCUACAGGGGAAGAAGGCGACCUGUGGGGGAAAAGAAAGCAAAAUAGUUUUAUAAAAACUAAUCUUGCAUCUAAAAUACCAUUUUAA